CCUUUUUUUUUUUUUUUUUUGUCAAAGUUCCUUAUACCAAUCCGGAUAGCCAAUUAGUUUAAAACAAGAAUCCCUCAUGCGGCCUCCAGUGUUGCAAUUGUUGCAAAACCUCUCAUCCUCCUUCCCAUACUCCUUAAAAGAAGGUUUGAAGUUAUUAGCUGGGCCACUAAUAUCUCUGAAGUUGUUCUUCUUAAAGUUCUGUGAUCUAGCCAACAUUACAGCAGUUGUUUCACUGGAUUCAAUUACAACAUUCUGCACUUCUCUUUGUUUCUCCACACUAAGUAUCGUUUAAUAUGCCAAGUUGACACUUUGGAGUGAACCCAUCAAUAAAAUCUGAUUUUUGACAUGGUCAUAAUUCUCAUUGAGACCUAUCAAACAUUAGCCUAUCCUCACUUUCAAUGGCAGCUACUGCCUUAGAAGCACCACAAGUGCAUGCAGGAAAUGGACGCAAACAAGAUUGUUUAUCCCACAUCUUUUUCAAUUUGGUAAAAUAGGCCAUUAAAGAUUUGUUCCCCUGAGUAAAAGCACAAAUGUCUUUCUUAAUCUGAAAUAACAGUGGCCCAUUGCUUUCCCCAAAACAUUGCUUUAGUUCAUCCCAAAGAUCUUUAGCAAAGGCUGUAAACCAAAAAGAUUCAACAAUCUCUUUUGAAAUGGUAUUUAAGAUCCAAGACACAACCAUACUGUCCACCCUUUGCCAUCUCUCAAAAAGAGGCGAGUCGACAGAAGGCAUUUCACAUUUGCCAUUAAUAAAACCCAAUUUGUCUUUAGCUCUAAGUGCUAUGAUCAUCGAUCUACUCCAUGUAAGGUAAUUUUCACCAAUUAUCAAGGCACUUACCAAGAUCAAACUCGGAUGGUCCAAGUUAUGCAAAUACAGCGGAUCGUUGCGCAGAUUCGCAACAACAUGACCCUCCGUUCCUGCUCCAUUCCUCUCGCCUGAAGCUUCCUCCAUUAAACUCAUUCUUCAAGCUAAAGAGAACACAAAGGUUGCGAAAGAACAGAAGUAAUAGAGGAAAUUGCAGUAUCUCAGCCCUGUGGCUCUGGUAUCAUGUACAGAUUAGAAAAACAGAGAGCAAAGGAAAUGGAGAAUAAGAUCUUCAUAUAAAUCAAUGAAAAAAUAAAGAGGUUUACAUACACUGAAGGAAAAGUAACUGCUCCAGCUGAGCUGUCUACACAAGCCGAUCAAAUUAAG
rnacentral:misc_RNA from 1 species